rnacentral:piRNA from 1 species
UUCUAACUCAUGAUUCUUUGC